UUACUAUAAUGUAUGCCGAUUGUGUAAAAUUGAGCAGCGUGACACCUUGUUUAAGCACAAUGGUGUUGAGCAGGGUGACUCACAUUACAGUCAAGUCAGUCAAGUGUUCACUCACAGUUGAACACCCACCCCUCGAGCUUUGUGUCAGUCUAUGCUUCGUUCCCACAGUUAUAGGGCUGGCUGGCUGGCUGAAUUACGUAACAUGAAUUCCUAUGGUUGCCACUGGCCGUCUGGAAUUCCUCAUAUGGAAAUGCAUCUCCUCCUCUCCCACAUUUAAUGUGUGUUAAUGCAUUGUCUAAGUUCGACGAUAAACGCAUUUCAAAAGUACGUUCAAGUCAGCUGGCGUCGAGAGGGAAUCGAAUGGUAUGACUCUUGUCUGUAUCUUUCCAUUGGUCGCAGCCAGAUCUCUGACGCGUUUAUUACGCGUGGCCUGGAACGGCACAACUUUGCGUAACAGUAGUCUAUGACGUUAUAUUACCGUGGACUAUUAUCAGGUGAAGAAGAGUGUGUAUUUCCUAUGUAAUGGAUGUUACCAUCGGAACGGAUCUGAGCGAGAUAGAGAGAAAGAUGGGUCGGGAGAUUCCAGAGAGUCUGUUUCCUUUUGCCCCAGAUGGAAGGAUGAUGAAAGACAAUACACAUGGUAGAGACGAGUGGGACUGGCCUGGCCAUGUCGAAGACAUGCCCUCCACCCAGAGUCUGCAGAGCAACAUGCGACUCCUAAGACAAGAAAUGUCACACCUGCGGGGCAUGGACGUCCGUCUGAUGUGCCAGCUCCUGUCGAUCAACGACGGCAUCGAGGCGACGCGCUGGGACCUGGAGGUGUAGCUGAGGUUGGGGAUGGCAGCGGGUGGCUAGCCAGGAGAGAGCGUCCUGUCUCUCGACCAGGCUACACCCCGACGAAGCAGCGUGUCCAGUCUGCACUAGGGGAGAGAUGGGGUUUUGAUGUGAUGUCUGUGGGGAGUUAUCUGGGUAGCUUGGAGGAUGACCCAGUGGUGAUACCGGCCCUCUCUCGCCCGCUGACCGGGUAGUUGGAGAAGGAGGCUUGGAGGGAAAGUUAACCCUGUGUGUGGGUCCUGGAAAACUACUGUGCAUAUCCAGACUAUUAUUGCAGACCAGCUCUAACAAACCUGAUUCAGCUAUACUGGCCUAAAAUCAAGGUAUGAUGAUUAGUUAAAUCAGGUGUGUUGGGCUGCCUGGAACAAAAGCAUGCUCACAUUGUAACCUACCUGUACUGUGCCUGUCCAGGAACACUGUAUCCUGAGGGUUUGAGAGGACAACGUUAGUGGGAGAGAGUCGAGGAACACUGUAUCCUGAGGGUUUGAGGACAACGUUAGUGGGAGAGAGUCCAGGAACACUGUAUCCUGAGGGUUUGAGGACAACGUUAGUGGGAGAGAGUCUAGGAACACUGUAUCCUGAGGGUUUGAGGACAACGUUAGUGGGUGAGAGUCCAGGAACACUGUAUCCUGAGGGUUUGAGAGGACAACGUUAGUGGGAGAGAGUCUAGGAACACUGUAUCCUGAGGGUUUGAGAGGACAACGUUAGUGGGAGAGAGUCUAGGAACACUGUAUCCUGAGGGUUUGAGGACAACGUUAGUGGGUGAGAGUCCAGGAACACUGUAUCCUGAGGGUUUGAGGACAACGGUAGUGGGUGAGAGUCCAGGAACACUGUAUCCUGAGGGUUUGAGGACAACGUUAGUGGGUGAGAGUCCAGGAACACUGUAUCCUGAGGGUUUGAGAGGACAACGUUAGUGGGAGAGAGUCUAGGAACACUGUAUCCUGAGGGUUUGAGAGGACAACGUUAGUGGGAGAGAGUCUAGGAACACUGUAUCCUGAGGGUUUGAGGACAACGUUAGUGGGAGAGAGUCCAGGAACACUGUAUCCUGAGGGUUUGAGGACAACGUUAGUGGGAGAGAGUCUAGGAACACUGUAUCCUGAGGGUUUGAGAGGACAACGUUAGUGGGAGAGAGUCCAGGAACACUGUAUCCUGAGGGUUUGAGGACAACGUUAGUGGGAGAGAGUCCAGAAACAGUGUGAGAGCGAAAUUACAAGAUGAUGUUAUGAUACUGUUGUUGCAUCAAAUGGUUGUUUUUCUGGAAUAGAAUAGAGGUUUUUGAACAAUCUUAUCUGUGGUCUUCUGAGUUGGGUCCUGGGGGAGAUAAGGUCUGAGACAGGAUGUGUGGGGUAGUGUCUGGAACCUUAGUACGUCCCCUCUGAUGUUGCACCUAUCCUGGGAUACUGUAUGACCCAGAGGCUCACUCCCCUCAGUCAGCCCGUCUAGGCGUGUGGUCACGGACAUGGGUUUUACUUGAGAUGGGGGUAUCUGGAGCUGACAAUUGAUUUAUGCCAUAGAUUGUGUUGCUGUACUAUGAGGUACCAGGGACAAGAUCUUAGGGGGCUAAUUCUGUACAAUAAGAACCGUCUUCAUAGCAAAUGCUAUCUGGCUGGGUGAUACUCCUUUCUCAUGUAUCAAGUCUCACCACCUUGUGACCCGUUCCACACAUCUGUUGUUUGUCAUGUAGACUAAGGGGGUGUAUCUUUACUAUAAAAAGGUGUCUGUCGGGGCUCUCAACGAGUCAUCUAAAGGUGGUUCGUCGACCAGCUUCAUUAUUGCAAUCGUUGUUAUUAAUACGUUUUGAAUAAAGUAAAGAUCCUGAUUGGUAAAUUGA